ACGGGUGAGUAACGCGUGGGAACGUGCCUUCUGGUUCGGAAUAACUCAGGGAAACUUGAGCUAAUACCGGAUACGCCCUUUUUGGGGAAAGGUUUACUGCCGGAAGAUCGGCCCGCGUCUGAUUAGCUAGUUGGUGGGGUAACGGCCUACCAAGGCGACGAUCAGUAGCUGGUCUGAGAGGAUGAUCAGCCACACUGGGACUGAGACACGGCCCAGACUCCUACGGGAGGCAGCAGUGGGGAAUAUUGGACAAUGGGCGCAAGCCUGAUCCAGCCAUGCCGCGUGAGUGAUGAAGGCCUUAGGGUUGUAAAGCUCUUUUAUCCGGGACGAUAAUGACGGUACCGGAGGAAUAAGCCCCGGCUAACUUCGUGCCAGCAGCCGCGGUAAUACGAAGGGGGCUAGCGUUGCUCGGAAUCACCGGGCGUAAAGGGCGCGUAGGCGGUCUUUUAAGUCGGGGGUGAAAGCCUGUGGCUCAACCACAGAAUUGCCUUCGAUACUGGGAGACUUGAGUUCGGAAGAGGUUGGUGGAACUGCGAGUGUAGAGGUGAAAUUCGUAGA
rnacentral:rRNA from 1 species